rnacentral:rRNA from 1 species
AGAGUUUGAUCCUGGCUCAGAAUCAACGCUGGCGGCGUGCCUAACACAUGCAAGUCGAACGGGAAAGGGGAGCAAUCCCUGAGUAUAGUGGCGACCGGGUGAGUAACACGUGACUACCUGCCCUUGAGUGGGGGAUAACCUCGGGAAACCCAGGCUAAUACCGCUUAUUAUCGCAAGAUCUAAUGAGCAAUCCGCUUUUGGAGGGGGUCGCGGCUGAUUAGCUAGUUGGUAGGGUAAUGGCCUACCAAGGCGAAGAUCGGUAUCCGGCCUGAGAGGGCGCACGGACACACUGGAACUGAAACACAGUCCAGACUCCUACGGGAGGCAGCAGUGGGGAAUUUUGCGCAAUGGGGGAAACCCUGACGCAGCAACGCCGCGUGGAGGAUGAAGCCCCUUGGGGUGUAAACUCCUUUCGACCGGGAAAAUAAUGAUGGUACCGGUGGAAGAAGCACCGGCUAACUCUGUGCCAGCAGCCGCGGUAAUACAGAGGGUGCGAGCGUUGUUCGGAAUUAUUGGGCGUAAAGGGCGCGUACCGGUACGGUAAGUCACCUGUGAAAUCACGGGCUUAACUCGGGCCUGCAGGCGAACUGCCGUGCUGGAGGGUGGGAGAAGUGCGUGUAUUCCCGGUGUAGCGUUGAUGUGCGAGAUAUCGUGAGGUACACCUGUGGCGAAGCAGCGCACUGAACCACUACUGACCCUGAUCGCGAAAGCUAGGGAUCGAACAGGAUUGAUACCCUGAAGUCCUAGCCCUAACGAUGAUGCUAGAUGUGAUCGGUACCCAUGCCGAUCAUGCCCAGCUACGCGAUGAGCAAUCUCCUGGGCGUCCGUCGCUAGCUGAAACUCAAGCACUGACGGGAGCCCGCCAAGCGUGAGCAUGUGAUCAAUCGAGCCACCCGAGACCUUACUGGG